CUAUGGGAGCAGAGGAGUCGCCCCUGCUGGUCACUACAGAGAAGUAGAGUCAUUUCCUCAUAGACGUCUAUGGGAGCAGAGGAGUCGCCCCUGCUGGUCACUACAGAGAAGUAGAGUCAUUUCCUCAUAGACGUCUAUGGGAGCAGAGGAGUCGCCCCCUGCUGGUCACUACAGAGAAGUGGAGUCAUUUCCUCAUAGACGUCUAUGGGAGCAGAGGAGUCGCCCCCUGCUGGUCACUACAGAGAAGUAGAGUCAUUUCCUCAUAGACGUCUAUGGGAGCAGAGGAGUCGCCCCCUGCUGGUCACUACAGAGAAUGCAGCUUUAAAACGCCUUUACUUUGUGGAUCCGGAGGUUGAUGCCUGCUCAUGUGUUGUAUAACUUAAUCUCCUAAGGAAUAGGAGUUGCAGGUUUGAUCGUGUUGCCGUGGAGAAUGUCCCCCUCCCGUUCAUUUCCAUCUCAAACAUGGCCGGUCCUCCGUCGGAAGCCUGCGCGGUCAUUUAAAAGAUAAUGAGGGAAAAUUCAAACGAAACACGUCUCUCUUUGAUUGCGUGUCCCAUUUCAAAGUAAGAGAUUUAAAAAAAUAAUUCAGAGCUGAGGGGCUGGUUCGCUCUUUGUGCGCCUCACUGGGGGGGUCGAGCUGCAGCUCGGCUCUGGAGACCGAGCGAAUCGAAAAGGAGGACGGACAUGUGACACCUGAGAGCGGCGAGAGGUCACAGAGGUACCGUUAUCAUUUAUUAGUUAGGGUUAUCAUUUAUUAGUUAAGUGUAUUAUUUAUUAGUUAAGGGUAUCAUUUAUUAGUUAAGGUAUAAUUUAUUAGUUAAGGUAUACUUUUUUAGUUAGGGUUAUAAUGUAUUAGUUAAGGGUAUCAUUUAUUAGUUAGGGGUAUAAUUUAUUAGUUAAGGGUAUCAUUGAUUAGUUAAGGUUAUAAUUUAUUAGUUAAGGGUUAUCAUUUAAGUUAUUAGUUAGGGUAUCAUUAAGGGACCACAGCACAACAACAAGGAGCCCAUUGAGUAAUGAAGCCAUUAGACCCUCCAAGUCUCCUUGUUUCCUUUCCUUCACUCUCAGUGAUGUUAAAUACAUAAAUAAACUAGUUCAUGUUUGGUUUGUCUGUUUUUCAAUCCGAUCACAAUGAUCUGCAAAGAGAUGCUGUUAACAUGCAACCUGAUUGUCGUUUGUCUUCAGAACAGUUUGAAUUAUCCUUAAAGAGGCUCCUUCCAUCUCGUUCGCAUACAAACAUCCUUGAAAUGAGCCUUUUUCAAUCAGUCUCAUUAGAAAAGGGUGAAAUGAGCCGAUGU
ensembl:lncRNA